AGGGGCCGCGGUGGAGCUCCGGGCGGUGUUUGGGCCCAGCGCCGCCCGCACGGCCGCGGUCCCACACACAAACCUCGCCCGGAGCCGGCAGCAGGUAAGGAUGCUUCAGAGCAGCGCCAGCACUCCCAUUUUACACGAGUGAGACGGUGAUGGCAAAGCCGGAACCUCGUAAAGCUCAACUUUAGUUUUUGUGUCAAAAUAGAAGCUGUCCUUUAGAGCUGCUGUAUAGGAGAAUCAAUAUAAAGUGUAUCAUAAAUAUCGUAUCAUAAAUAUAUACAGUAUAAGAAAGAAAUACAUGCAUACAAGAAAGACGGGGAGCUGCUGGAGAGGGUCCUGGGAGGCACAAAAGGCAGGGCCAGAAGAUGGUGCCAGACUCUUUCUGGUGGUUCCAAGCAGCAGGAUGAGGAGCAAUGGCCAUAAACUAAAACACAAGAAGUUUGGCCCCAACAUGAGGAAACACUUGUUCACAUUGAGGAUGGUAGAGCAGUGGAACAGCUGCCCAGGGAGGGUGUGGAUUCUCCCUCUCUGGAGACAUUUCAAACUCACCUGGAUGUGUUCCUGUGUUAUCUGCUCCAGGUGACCAUGCCUUGCACUGGGUGAUCUCCAGAGGUCCCUUCAAAAACCAACAAUUCUAUGAUUCUGUGAAAUAUGUAUAAAUAAGAAUUUGAAAAUUAAAAUAAGCAACAGUCUCUUUUCCAAAUUUAUAGUCACAUCCCUUUUUGCUGAUUUAAUCAUUUUAUCAUGCCACAGGAAAAAGCACCAAAUUGUAUUGAUUCACAAAGCAGAACAAACAGCAUCUUACUAUUUUAAAAAAUACCUCAAUAAUUUUGAAGACAUGAGGCCACAACAGUCCCUUAUUUCCAUGACUUAAAAUAACUUAUGGAAUUUUGCCAAGUGUUGUAUUCAUUGAAUUGUUUUGCUUUGGCUUAGCCUGAAUUUACCUACUUCUCUGAAAAAAUUUUGAACUAGCAGAGAAUCCACAAUAUCCCUAAUGGUGUUGCUCUACUGAUUAGUAAAAAAAGAAACCAUACCCAUCUUCUGGCUUUAGUUUUAUUCAUUAUCUGGCAAAUGAAACUGGACUUAGUCUGUCUAUAAAAUCCUACCUUUAGCCUUUGUCCUGAGGCUGGAAAUAUGUCUUUAUGGAAAGAGCUUCAUGCUAUGAUCACACAGGAGUUUUGGCAGUAAGCAGCAAAACAGAACUAAAGGUGUCCUUUUGCUGGGACAAAAUAAAUGUUGUAUGCCUACAAUCUCCUGCACUGAGUUACCAAUCAAACAAGAUGCUGAUCUCCCAGUACAGUUCGUUCUCUGCUUCUUAUUCCAGCCAUGGUUGCUGAGGUUUCCCCAGACCAGCUUGUGUUAAAGGUCUCACAGAUUGGCUGUAGCCACCCAAAAGGGCAGAUGCCCACGCACCUCUCCCUCUAUUCACCACAAUGUUUUCCAUACAAGCGUUCAGGAAAGCGCUUUCCCCAGUUCCCAGCGGAGGGCAGCGAUGAGAACCUAAAAUCCACACACAGCAAAGGGAGAGGGGAUAAAAACCAAACCCAAGCCUUUGCUUUGAAUUCAGUCCUGCUUGUCAGGCAAACUCAGGCGGACCAAAGCAUUUUCUGUGCCUUUGGACUGAUUUAUUCUCCACCCAACGCGGCACAGCCCAACACCACUUAUGUCAGAUAAAAAGACAAGGCUCUAAGUAGAAGAACAUCUGAGGAGGAUCCCCUUUGAAGCUGCAGAUCCAGUUCAAAGUCACAGGCAUCAAACAGAGCUAUCAAUGCUUUAGACAGAAAAGCCUAAAUGAGUCUUGUUUUUUAAACCACCACGUGCUUGGGAUGUUGAGAGAGUUUGGGUGAGGUUUUAAUCACUCAGAACUGAAAACAGAGAAAAGUCUAGGUGACAUUCACAUUCUUGUUUAAAUGGACAGCAUAGAUGAUGCUCAUUUCAAUUAGUGGGGAUGUAUCCAGACCAAAGGAAGCAUGAGGUAAGCCCUUUCUUCAAUGAAAGCACUUAGCACAGCUCAUGGGGAUAACCUUCACUGGAGGUAGGCUUGUUAGUGUUUAAAAGGACAUGUAGGAGGUUACCUGAGGUAUCUAGCAUCAGGUUCUUUGCUCUUUUGCUACAUGGGUUCAGAGUUUAGAUUGAGUCUUUCAAGGCAGGUUGGAAAACAGACUGAUUUCUGAGCACAAAAUCAGGAGGGCUUACUGAGAUUCCCAUGCUAAAGCAAACUGCCCACAUUGCAAAUCUUUGUUUCACCAGCAUUAUUUUGCAAAUUUUCUGUGAUUUUUUUCAUGUUUAGACUUAGAACUACCACAAAAAUCACACCUUGUCACUAAAUGGCAAUAAAGUCUAAAAUUUGUGUUUGAACAAGAGCUGAUGAUCCUCUUAUCCUGAACCAUCCUGUGCAACUAACACACAGUUGUAGCCACUCACAACCAUUUAAUAGUUAUUAGGCAAGGGUAAAACUCACCUUAUGUAUAAUAAACAUAAGUUUAACUUGUUAGUUCAGGUUAUUGAAGUAGCUAGUUCCAAAGCCCCAGCCAUACUUUUCAGACCACAGCUCUUCUGAAGCUUCAAAAUAAAUAUAAGGAUGAUGAUGUCCAUCUUUUAUUACAGGGUUGGUCCAGCACAGACUGAGCCCUGCUGGUACACAGCCCCUCUCAAAGCUGGGCAGUGUGAACUGAAACAGAACUGAGCAGUACAAAGUUUAGAACUCACUGGGGACAAAAAUGUUUUGGAAGGGGCCUGAUUAAAAACCCUGACACUUGCCUCAUCCCUCCAAAAAAAGUGAAAUCCUCACAAGAGAACUCAAAUCCUUCCCAGUUUGUUAGUAGCUGGAGUCCAAAGUAGGCCAACAUGGUCACAGGAGGAGCUCCUUUGCAGCCUCAUGCUAUUAUACUGCCAGUGAGUAAUUUCCUCAAAUAUGUUUGUCACUCUUUCAAAAUUAGCAUUGGAUACAAAAAUAUAACCUUGUUUGUUUGUUUUUUAAAAUUAUAAUUUUGUAAUGAAAGCAUGAAGCAUAUUUUUCAAAACCAGGUUGAUUUAGCAGGGACUGUAAACCAUCAAGCUGAAACACUUCAAUAACAUCAUCUUUCUUGUCACAGAUUUUUACAGCCCACGUCUAAAACUAAAAUAAAAUUACUUAUUUUGAGGAUCAGCGUUUACAAGAACAAAUGCCAUACACAUAUUGGACUUUUCACCCUCAAAUAAUGCAAAUUCUAUUUAUGUUCCCUCCAAAUUAACUGAGGUAUGCAAUUUCCAUUUCCUUUCUUCUAGCCUUUCUCAAAGGCAGAGCUGCAACACCAGAUCACACACCAAGACUGAAUAUUCCUUAAAUCUUCACUUCAGAAUUCACAGGUGUACCAACCAUAUCAUUUUAAUUUAGUUGUUAGUAUAUACAUUAACACUCAAAAAUGUGAUAAAAACCAAACAAAAGUAUUUUUUUUAAUAAACAUCAUGAUACAGACCGCAAAGAUAAAUAAAAAGCAGACUUUUUACAGUUUCCCAUGAACAUGUACUACAAUAAGUAUCAUAGGCCAGACUUUUUUACUUGAGUAGCACAGCAGAAGGGUUAAAAAAGGGGUUGUGGUUUUUUUAAUUUAAAGUACUGCAAGACUAUUCUCAGUAUGACAAUACAUGCAUCUUGCUGCAUCUUAAAUACUUUUUGGCCCAUUAUUACUAAAAAUGUCUUGCUUUCUACCUACUUUACCACAGACCUUUAUCACAGAAUGAUACACACAUGGCAACAUCCCCCCCCGCCCCAGUAGUGGUUAUUUCAAAGGUAAUUGUCUCAUUUUGAAAAGAUAAUUAAAGCACUGGUGGGGUUUUUAACCUUCCCUUUGAUGCAGACAGGCAACUGCUCUCAGCUUCAGGGAAGUUACACAGAAGCAUCGAGAGCUGACACCCUCCUGGGCUCUGCUUGUACCCAAAAUGCCAACAGGCUCUGGGCUGCCUUAGGAGGAGCCUGCCCCUCUGCUCAGCACUGGUGAGGCCACCCCUGGGCACUGGGCUCCCAGUCCAAACCUGACCUGAAUGUGCUGGAAUGGCUCCAGGAAGGGCUGCCAAGGGGAUGCACAGGAGAGGAGAGGGCUGGGAUUGGGAUCCUGGUCAGAGAGAAAGCCUGGGGGGUAUCUGGUCAAUGUACAUAAAUACUUGGUAGGGAGGAAUAAAGACAGGCAAAGCUCUUCUAAGUGCCCACUGACAGGACAACAGGCAGUGAAAUAGAAGGUAUUUCAUAUAAACAUUAUGAAAAAAAAUUGGCUGUGGGUUCUUCUUUUUCAGACAGACUCUAAACCCAGCUAGGCAAUGUCCUGGGCAUCCUGUUCUAUUGCUGACUCUGCUUUGUACAGGGGGUCUGGGCUAAAUGAACUCCAAAGGUCUUUGCCAGCCUCAAUGGUUCUGUGAAAAUUCUGCAGUUGUGUUGCCAUUUACAAUGACAACAAUACUUACAAAAUUUCAAACCCAAGAAUCCAGGACUUCAGACUGCAGCUGUAUAUAUUUAAAGCCCUUCUCUCCACCAGGGAAGUAGAUUUUCAUAGUGUAGUGGAUAUUCACAGUUAAAACUUGAAGAGGUGCAAGGGGGCAAAGAGAAAGGAUGAUACUCCCAGAUAAUGAAUUACACAUUUAUCUUCACAUGAGAAAUGAAGAAUUUGGACCACAGUUGCUAUAAGAUAAUAAGAUUCAUAUAUUCCUUUUCAUUCCUCAGCCCCAAAUGAAACAGUAAGACAAUUUUGGACAGCCUGGGGCAGUUGAUAAUUCAGGAUAUAGAACAUUAUUAAUAAAGCCUGAAAACAGAUUAAAAAUAGUUAAAGAAACAAGGCAGAAUGAGAUUCCAACUAUGAAUAUCCAUAUUUUGGCUCACAAGAAUUAACUAAACUACAACAGACACAAAGAUUCUUGAAAAAAACACCUUCUGCCUGAAUUAGGCUUUCAGUGACUUCAGCAAUACAAUUAAGUCAGGUUUAGUUGUGAUUAAUUUUAUGACUGGAACAGGAGCCUGACAAAAUUAAUGCAGUUACACUGAACUGAAUGGCUCCUGAAGCAGUUUAAUAACUACUGGGAAUCAGGCACCAGAAUUUAAAAAAUAAUCAAGACAGUAUAGUGUAUUUUUUGCCUUCCUUCUGCUGCAGGAAUAUUGCAUCACAUACAGAAGUGACAGUAAGGACACUUAAAAGACACGUACACAAACCAGUGGGGACACUAACUUCAAAGUACAGGCAGAACAUUGCUUCAAUUGAUCUUCUCUUACAAAUAUUUUUGAUGUUUUUAUGCUCUGGGCAUGUCCCAGAGGGGUGUUGGAGAGAGAAAAUAAGGGACAGAGGGAUUCACCUCUGGCUUUGAGUCAGGAGCACUAACACAGCAAGACCUCAGACUUUUCAGAGUCUAUCCCAUAAAGCUCAGAUGUCCAGAACACUGUAUGGCAAAUGAAGAAGUGAUUUUUCCUGAAUGUGGGUUCAACAGGUCUGUAUGCUAUGAAAGAGUAGGAAGAGGAAAUAUUUAAGCUAGCAAGGAACAAAAAUAUUGAAGUGUCAAGAAUGACACUUCUGUAGACUGUAGACAAGAUUACUGUACUUUUGGAGAGCUGAAAAGGCUACUUUGUUAAUAAAGACUAUUUCAAAGUAAAGUUAAUAAGUGUUUAACUGGGCUGCUACUAAACAUUCCCCUCCUUAAGAGAACCUUUCAUACUGAAUCAUAGGAAUAAAUAAUCUGGAACUCUGAUAUACAUACAGCCUAACUCUGAUUUCAUAUGCUGUUGUGAAUCCAGAGCAAUUCCGAUGAAGUGAGUGUUGUAUCAGCAUAAAGUGAAAUCAGAAUUUCUCAGAGCAGAGCACCUAUGGGUUUGGUUAGUGUAUGCAAAUAGAGAACUUCUAUAGCCAGUUUCCAGUUGGCUUGCCUUCAUUAACACAGGUUAAAAAAAAGUAAAUCUAAACAAAGAACCCCAAACCAAUACCAGCUGCAGGGGUUGUGAGCUACACAUCAUUUUGGACAGACAGAGCCUUUCCUAAACUGAGACAACUUCCAGCGCAAAAUAAAAAGAUGCAAAUUCAUUAUUUAUAUGAAACAUGUAUUGCAAAAUUAAAUUGGGAUUCAACAAUCUGCAACAACAUCCACAGCUAUAUAGUGUUUUUAAAAAACAAGUGUGGUUCUUCCAUUCAAGUAAAACUAAAAGAAGUGAAAGAAGUUAAAAAAAACCCUAGAAGCAGCAAGUUACAAUUCUUUCUGUAAUACCACACCAUUUUCAUUAACUUGAAGUAUUUUCAAGAUGUCAAAGACAUCAACAAAAAUAGUAAUUUCAAGUGGCAUUUCUGAUUUUUUUUUUUUUUUUUUGAAUGGGUCCAGCCCAGGUCUGCAACCUGUACAGACAUGCAAAACAGGAGGAAUUCAUAAUGACUAUUAAGAACAGACAUUUGAACAUGCCAGUUAUAUAAUGACAAAGCAAAGACAAUACCUUCAAAUUGUCAACAAACGUGGGCAACUGACCACUAAAGGGCAUUUAAUACUUUACAGGAAAAGGAAAGUUGGAUUAAUACCCACAAAAAACUUGCCAAACCACCAACAGCAGGGUCAUUACAUACAAAGUUCUUUUAAACCUGGUAAUUUCUAUAUUGUCUUCAAUAUGCAGGCUCAUAUAUUUUUCACCAGAUGCCAAACCACCUACAAUUUUGGUUUUAUUUAAAAGCCUUUUAAAAAAAAUUAAAAAUUAUACUGUAAGUCUGUUUCAUCUAUGUAAAAACUACUAAUGCACCCUUUCAGACAAAGAAGUAUGCAUAUAUAAAAUCAGUACAGGUACUUUUUCUGCUACAUUUAGGAAAGCAAUGAAUGUAAUUCUAAGUAAAACUAAUAUGCAGCAGCCUGUUCUGUCAAUAUAUCAAACACAGUUUCACAGCUGAAAAAGUUACUGGUUUUAAAUUUUAUUUCACUAAAACUCCAUUUCCUAAUGCUUUGUGGUAAAACACAUGGCCCAGUCCUGGGCUCCUUGCUCUGGCAGUCUUACAAGGAAGUUCUGCAGGAGCAAGGUGCCCAGAUUCACUUCAAGCCCAAAAUAAACUGCUUUAGUGUUUUGUGCAUCUGAUUCCUAGAACAAAGGGAAAAUUUUCAAAUCUCCAUGAAGUGGGAAUAGUUAAAAAUAAGCCAAAUUCCAAGUAUUUCUGUAAAAAACUAGGACUCAGUUACAAGUGCUUUCACGGUCUGCAAGCAGAUCUUCUUUCUGAUACUGGGAGCAGAUGACAUCCUCUCAUUUCACCAGGGUAUGCAAACAGUGCCUCCACUAUCCUCAGUGAAGUUACAUCAGCACAGAACUGCAGUAAUUAGGGUUCAACACUUUGAAGCUGAGAAAAGGAUUGUUGUUUUCUGUGAAACACUGGCAGAAUGUUUUCCAAAUGCCCAUCCUGGUUAUGCAAAGAACUGGGUGAAGCCCAAGAGCUUCUCCUAGUUGUUAAAAAAAUUUGUUGAAAGCCUACAAUUAUCCUGAACUGUAUCAUGUCUAUAUUAUUGCAACUGUAUUAUGUACUGCUCUGAGGUUUCCUUUCUUUUACUAUUUGAUUCUCAUAAUAACGUCUACAGCUUAUGCACAACAUUUCAUUGGAGUAACUUCUGGAAACAGAGCCUGACUCCUCAUACCUUGGUCUGGGCAAAAAGGGUGCAGAACACUGUGCUUAACUGAAAGAUAUUUAUACUCAUAUUUACAGAAGGGCUAGGAAGGGGCAAAGUACAAACAAAUUUGGCUUCAUAACAUCCAAUAAAUUUGAGUUGAUCUUUUCACCCAGGCUGAAAAAGGCUGACCAUUUCUUGCAUAAAUGAGGUAAAGCAUUGUUUCAACACCAGAUAAAUACGGAUAAUAUAGCACCUAAUGUGAUGUCUGUGCAACAGUUUUACUCAGUUAAAUUAAGAAUUAUAGCCAACAGGGUUUCAGAUUUUGUGAACUAAACUUAAACUGAAACGAACCCAUUUUAAGAGCUAAACCAUUAUUGUGUGUUGAUUGCAAGUAAUAGAUACAAGGGUAACUUUGCUCUAGAAAGUACAACCAAGCUUAGCAGGAGUUAAAA